UACGUAGGGUGCAAGCGUUGUCCGGAAUCAUUGGGCGUAAAGCGCGCGUAGGUGGCUUCAUAAGUCCGCUGUGAAAGUCAAAGGCUCAACCUUUGAAAGCCGGUGGAUACUGUGAAGCUAGAGUACGGAAGAGGCGAGUGGAAUUCCUGGUGUAGCGGUGGAAUGCGCAGAUAUCUGCAGGAACACCCGUGGCGAAAGCGGCGAGCUGGAUCACUACUGACGCUGAGGAACGAAAGCUAGGGGAGCAAACAGG
rnacentral:rRNA from 1 species